GCAGCCAUCAUUUAAAGAAAGCGUAAUAGCUCACUGGUCGAGUCGGCCUGCGCGGAAGAUUUAACGGGGCUAAACUAUAUACCGAAGCUGCGGAUCGCAAUUUAUUGCGAUGGUAGGAGAGCGUUCUGUAAGCCGUUGAAGGUGAACCGAGAGGUUUGCUGGAGGUAUCAGAAGUGCGAAUGCUGACAUGAGUAGCGAUAAAGAGUGUGAGAAACACUCUCGCCGUAAGCCCAAGGGUUCCUGCGCAAGGCUAAUCCGCGCAGGGUGAGUCGGCCCCUAAGACGAGGGCGAAAGCCGUAGUCGAUGGGAAUCAGGUUAAUAUUCCUGAGCCAGGAGGAUGUGACGGAUCUCGACUGUAGUUUGCCCUUAUUGGAUUGGGUGAGCUGCUUAGAGGUUCCUGGAAAUAGCCCUCCAUGAGACCGUACCCUAAACCGACACAGGUGGACAGGUAGAGCAUACCAAGGCGCUUGAGAGAACUACGUUGAAGGAAC
rnacentral:rRNA from 1 species